GGGUCAGUAGGCUGGUCGUGCCACCGGUACGUACUGGUCUCACUGAUUCCUCCUUCCUGAAGAACCGUAAUGCCAUUAAUUUGGUGUUGCGGGGAAACAGGACUGUUACUUUGAGGAAAUUGGAGUGUUUAAAGCAAGCUAACGCUUGAAUACAUUAGCAUGGAAUAAUGAAAUAGGACGAUCGAUCCUAUUUUGUUGGUUUCUAGGAUUGACGUA
rnacentral:rRNA from 1 species